rfam:Schizophyllum commune H4-8 unplaced genomic scaffold SCHCOscaffold_11, whole genome shotgun sequence.
GGCGAGAUGGCCGAGCGGUCUAAGGCGCCAGACUAAGGAUCAGUCAGUGACUACUGACGCAUCUGAUUCCUCACCGAAUCAUCUGGUCUUUCGGGGCGUGGGUUCGAAUCCCACUCUCGUCA